AAACUAGGUUGCCUAGGGUGGAGGACGAACUUCUUCAGGUCAAAAGGGAAUUCCAGGUAUCUAUACUGGAACAUCAAUUUUACAAGCAUCUUCCUAUAUAUAGAUAUAUUAUGUAUUUUGUGGUACAGAGAUUCAGAUGCAUGGUUGAUGCCAGCACGCAAUCAACGUUUACGGCUGCAUAUGUCCGGAAAGAAGGCAAUGUUAAGAGGCGACAGGUUAUCACCAAAUCCUCCGUUCAAUGCAUCUACAAGAUCAACAGGUCAGGCUGCUGCAACAACACCCGCUGGUGAUCAUGUGGUGCAAAACAAGCCAUUGGAGAAAGAUGUCACCGACCAAACCACACCAUCUCCAAAGCCUGUAUUCGACAAUGAUUACAAGUUGACGGACGAAGACAUAGAGGUGGCAGCUUUCCUCCGCCAAAGUUACGAAGAUGCUGAUGUAGUUGAUGUCGGAGAGACGGUGCUUAAAGUUCAUCACCUAAAGCAAAAUGUCAUAAAAAAAAUUCAUUUUCGAUGAGGUUAUUCAUGCAUAUGCCCACAUUAGUAAUAUAGAGACUGAUACUACAUCAGUUCUAUACCCCAAAGAUACCAGGAAGCUGUUACAAUCAUACGGGGGUACUGCUCGGGCACAUGGUCCCAACGAAAGCAAUUGGCUUGCUCGUAUAGCAAAAAAAUGUGUGGGACGCCGAACGGUAUGUGUGUUUCCUGACUUUCCUACUUCACAGACUUUCUUAUUUCAUAAUCACAAACUACAUGCAACAUUUCAUCUAGUCGGUCCCAUCAAACUUUAUUUUAUUUGCAUAUCGAAAUGCUUGCCUAUACUGAGACUGCACUAAUUUUGCGGCAGGUUCGAAUCCCGUUCAAUGUAAACAAUAUGCACUGGCAUCUACUUGUGUUGAAUUUCGACAAAGAAGAGAUUCAAGUCCUCAACUCUCUGCUGCUUAUUCGUGACGAGGCCAAAGAAACUACACUGGUGGAAUGCAUUCAGACAUGCAUCAUAGAAGAACUCCAGGGCGGCUUGGUACAAGCACCAGGUCCCAUCACCAUUACAGAGUGGAAGAAAGUAUGCUAUACAAACAUCCCACAACAGGAGGAUGGCUAUUCUUGCGGGUCGUACACUCUGAAAUACAUGUUGUAUUGGGACGGGGAAAAGAUGACCGAUGAUUUCACACAGG